rnacentral:rRNA from 1 species
GCUACGGGAGGCAGCAGUGAGGAAUAUUGGUCAAUGGGCGCGAGCCUGAACCAGCCAAGUCGCGUGAGGGAAGACGGUCCUAUGGAUUGUAAACCACUUGUGUCGGGGAGCAAAAGACGCCAAGCGUGGCGUUCCGAGAGUACCCGAAGAAAAAGCAUCGGCUAACUCCGUGCCAGCAGCCGCGGUAAUACGGAGGAUGCGAGCGGUAUCCGGAUUUACUGGGUUUAAAGGGUGCGUAGGCGGAGGGUCAAGUCAGCGGUAAAAUUUCGGGGCUCAACACCGUCGUGCCGUUGAAACUGACGCCCUUGAGUGAGUGAGAAGUAAGCGGAAUGCGUGGUGUAGCGGUGAAAUGCUUAGAGAUCAUACAGAACACCGAUUGCGAAGGCAGCUUACCAAGCUACUUCUGACGUUGAGGCACGAAAGCGUGGGGAGCAAACAGGAUUAGAUACCCGAGUAGUC